GCCAGGCAUGGUGGCUCAUGCCUGUAAUCCCAACACUUUGGGAGGCCGAGGUGGGUGGAUCACCUGAGGUCAGGAGUUCGAGACCAGCCUGGCCAACAUGGUGAAACCCCAUCUCUA
rfam:Pan troglodytes isolate Yerkes chimp pedigree #C0471 (Clint) chromosome 15, whole genome shotgun sequence.